GUUAAAUAUGCAUCUGGAACUUACCGGAUCUUUAAACUGCCUCAAAACUCCAUCAAGACCAGAGCGCUGGUCACAUAUAAAGGCACCGUGCCUGACUGCGCUGAAUGUUUUGAGUUUGAUGCCUCUCAUUCCUUUAAGACAAAUGCCCCAGUGGAGAUGGGUGCAGAGAUGGCCGCCAUCCUCCAGAACACCCGUUUCUCUACAGACUUCAAUAUUACAAUGUUAGACACUCCAGAUACAGACCAGAGCAGUACUACGCAGUAUUGCCACCUUAGCCCGUUCCUUCUGGCGGAUAAACUGGGUUCCUCAGUCAAACAGUGCUCGAAGACAGGACACUAAGGUAAAUGUGGACAGUCUGGUGGAUCAUGUGAUGUCUAGAUCAACUUGAGAAAAUGUAAUGGGAAGUGAGAGUAUAGGGUGUCUAGUGCUCAAGUGAUCAUUCCUUAUGUUUUCUUUAGACUUGCAGAAGCUAUUUGUCCUCUUAAUUGUAAAUGACUUUUAAUAAAACAAAAGUACUAAGCAAUAAAACAAUGGUAAUAAUUAAGAUAUUAAUUACAGUGUGCAAAGUUAUACACUUUUUAUUCAAGAAAAAACUAAUCAAGAUCUUUGUCAGUCCAUUUAUAUUUUGAUUUUAUUUUUAAUUCCAACAUAGUUCUCUUUUCUUCUUCUUCUUCUUUUUGUGCAGUAUUUGUUAAAUGUUUCUAAAGCAAAUUUUACUGGGCUCUAUUUCUUUGUCCCUUAUAAGAUAGCAAACCAACUCAAAGUAUUGGUACUUCUUUUCUAUUCUGUAUGAAAUAAGGCAGUGCCGAUAUUGAUAUUGGUACACAAUCUCUCAUUACUCUGUUAAAUUA